rnacentral:sRNA from 2 species
CGAGUCCUGCCGCCGUACCCGGAUGACUGGUCGACUGAGUGGAUCGGCAGGAGUGGAGGACCCAAGCAGUGCGGGCCCACCGGGAGACCGGGAGGCCCUUGGGGUGAAGCCGCGCGAGCGGCCGGGCAUCUUCGCCAGUCCGAACCCGACAGGUCAUCCUUCGCAGGCGGUUUGACGAAGGGUCG